UACGAAGGGGGCUAGCGUUGUUCGGAAUUACUGGGCGUAAAGCGCACGUAGGCGGAUAUUUAAGUCAGGGGUGAAAUCCCGGGGCUCAACCCCGGAACUGCCUUUGAUACUGGGCAUCUAGAGUCCAGAAGAGGUGAGUGGAAUUCCGAGUGUAGAGGUGAAAUUCGUAGAUAUUCGGAGGAACACCAGUGGCGAAGGCGGCUCACUGGUCUGGUACUGACGCUGAGGUGCGAAAGCGUGGGGAGCAAACAGG
rnacentral:rRNA from 1 species